CCAUCCUUUUGUCGCCGGAGAACGGAACCUAUAGCUGUGGGCUGUGUUGUCGUGGAGAGGACGUUCACGAUCCUGUUAUCCUUCCAGGCGGUUGCUGUCACGGGGCCCUUCUGGACUGUCUUACUGGUACCUCUGUGUAAAGGAGGAAAACCUUUCCUGUCUCUGCGAGCAGUCCCACAACCAUAGAUUCCGUCCUCCAACAAAUCCUCGAGCAGUUUGACGUUGGUGAAGAAGUUGUCAAAGUAGACGUGGUGGUUCUUCCUCUUCAACUCGCUUGUCAAUUUCUUCACCACGUGUUCCCCGAGGCCGACAUGACGUAUUUCCUGCUUCCCCGUAUACACAUCGAAACGACUGAAGUACCCAUUGGUACUAUCUCCCAGUACCCACACUUUGAUCCCACGCUUGAUCGGCUUCAUAGGCAUAUACUGCUUGAGAGCGGACCGACCCUGAAAUUUGAUCAUUGCUGUGGAUAUUGCUUCAUCCACAGCAAGAUUCUUGGAUGGAUUAUACAAGGCUGAGAAUUGCAAGCUGAAAUGAUCAAUCACAGGGCGGACCUUACCCAGCCGAUCAAACGUGGGACUUCCUCUCGGAGCAAGAUGUUGGUUGUUGACAAAGUGCAGGUACCGAGAGAUUUCCCUGAAGCGCCACCGAGGAAUCCUUGUCGUGAUGGGGGCGUAGUGUGUAAGAGGGUCUCUACUCCAAUAGUCGUCCAGAGAUGUUCUUCGUUGACGAAGAGGUGAAAAAUGUGUAGCGGGCAAUCAGAGAUCUCUACAGUGGGACCGGUCAGGGAUGUAAAGUCGUUUACUGUGACAGUCGUCAGGUUCUCAGACCAUUGGGUUCUUCUGGGUCCUCCUCAUCAUCGGACAAUAUAUCGCCAAGUACCUCCUCCACAGUGAAGUGCUGUCUCUUGGUCAUUCUUCAAGUUUUAGAUAGUUAGAAUUAAUUUACAUGUAUUUUAUUUUAUUAUGUGGUAGU